UGGGAACGUACCCUUUGGUUCGGGACAACCCAGGGAAACUUGGGCUAAUACCGGAUAAGUCCGUAAGGAGAAAGAUUUAUCGCCAAAGGAUCGGCCCGCGUCUGAUUAGCUAGUUGGUAGGGUAAUGGCCUACCAAGGCUACGAUCAGUAGCUGGUCUGAGAGGAUGAUCAGCCACAUUGGGACUGAGACACGGCCCAAACUCCUACGGGAGGCAG
rnacentral:rRNA from 1 species